rnacentral:rRNA from 1 species
GACGAACGCUGGCGGCGUGCUUAACACAUGCAAGUCGAACGGAAAGGCCCUGCUUUUGUGGGGUGCUCGAGUGGCGAACGGGUGAGUAACACGUGAGUAAGCUGCCCUUGACUUUGGGAUAACUUCAGGAAACUGGGGCUAAUACCGGAUAGGAGCUCCUGCUGCAUGGUGGGGGUUGGAAAGUUUCGGCGGUUGGGGAUGGACUAGCGGCUUAUCAGCUUGUUGGUGGGGUAGUGGCUGACCAAGGCUUUGACGGGUAGCCGGCCUGAGAGGGUGACCGGCCACAUUGGGACUGUAAUACGGCCCAGACUGCUUCGGGACGCAGCAGUGGGGAAUAUUGCACAAUGGGCGGAAGCCUGAUGCAGCAACACCACGUGCGGGAUGACGUCCUUCGGGUUGUAAACCGCUUUCGCCUGUGACGAAGCUUGAGUGACGGUAAUGUGUAAAGAAGCACCGGCUAACUACGUG